rnacentral:lncRNA from 1 species
AACAAAUUCAAGCUUGCCUGCUGUAUGAUGAGAUGCAGGUCACCCAGGUGCUCCAAUGUACCAGCUAAUAGCUAGGUAAUACUUGGCUACCAAUACACAAGAGACCCCAGCUAGGAUCAGAUAAACCAUUCAGUUGAACCCAGGCCAAAUUUUCAACCCUCAGAAAAGUGAGCCAAACAAAUGAUUGUUAUUUUAAGGCACUAGGUUUUAGGAAUAUUAGUUAUGCAACAAAAUCUAAGUGAAGUGUUUCACUUCUUUCUAGGAUGUGGAAAAAUGUGAAAGACCUCUAUCCCGGAUAAGACAAUCACAAGUCACUAGGUAAACAGUAACCACAAAAAUGUACUUUUUCAAAAGCCUUCAAAAAUCUGUGGACAUAAAGAAAGCCAGAAGGACUUCAUUUCAGAGGGAGGAACUGUUCCAAGACACAGUGUUUACCAUGUAUUAAAAGUUAGAAGAUUCACAAAAAAUAGAAAAAUGUGAGUUAAUGGAAGCAUACCCAGAAGCAAUCCAGUACUGGGGAUCAAACUCAGGACCUUGCGGUUGUGAGGCAGGCACCCGAACCACUGAGCUAAAUCCCCAGCCCUAUGUGAACUAUUUUGCUGCUUCGAAAGGCCCAUGACUGAACAGACUUCAAACAGGUCCCAAGUGAGCCUGGAAGCAGGGAGCAAGCAACAGUGAGAGGCCCAGGGUCCCCAGAGAGCAUUCUGUUACAAGUGGUGCCCAGCAAGUCAUGAAGAUCCUUGAAGAGAAGCCCACACCGUCAGCACAGGUAACUGAGUGGACUUGUAUGACAAAGCAGCAGUCCCUUUGCAGUUUUAUUGCUUGUUUUGUUCACAGUUACCUGCAAUAUGGCGUGACUGCAGAUGGAUAGAAAUAUGUUUCAGUGUAACACAUUUAUAGCAGGGGAGAAACACCCCCAAAACACAACUGCUCAACCAAAAAGCAGGCUUGCAUUUCCUAGUCUGUGCUGCUUUCUGAAUACAAAGAGACAUGAUUAUCGCAAUAAUGGAGAACUGAGCUGUGG